rnacentral:rRNA from 1 species
GAUGAACGCUGGCGGCGUGCCUAAUACAUGCAAGUCGAGCGAAUGGAUUAAGAGCUUGCUCUUAUGAAGUUAGCGGCGGACGGGUGAGUAACACGUGGGUAACCUGCCCAUAAGACUGGGAUAACUCCGGGAAACCGGGGCUAAUACCGGAUAACAUGUUGAACCGCAUGGUUCGAAAUUGAAAGGCGGCUUCGGCUGUCACUUAUGGAUGGACCCGCGUCGCAUUAGCGAGUUGGUGAGGUAACGGCUCACCAAGGCAACGAUGCGUAGCCGACCUGAGAGGGUGAGCGGCCACACUGGGACUGAGACACGGCCCAGACUCCUACGGGAGGCAGCAGUAGGGAAUCUUCCGCAAUGGACGAAAGUCUGACGGAGCAACGCCGCGUGAGUGAUGAAGGCUUUCGGGUCGUAAAACUCUGUUGUUAGGGAAGAACAAGUGCUAGUUGAAUAAGCUGGCACCUUGACGGUACCUAACCAGAAAGCCACGGCUAACUACGUGCCAGCCGCCGCAGUAA